GACGAACGCUGGCGGCGUGCUUAACACAUGCAAGUCGAACGGAAAGGCCCUGCUUUUGUGGGGUGCUCGAGUGGCGAACGGGUGAGUAACACGUGAGUAACCUGCCCUUGACUUUGGGAUAACUUCAGGAAACUGGGGCUAAUACCGGAUAGGAGCUCCUGCUGCAUGGUGGGGGUUGGAAAGUUUCGGCGGUUGGGGAUGGACUCGCGGCUUAUCAGCUUGUUGGUGGGGUAGUGGCUUACCAAGGCUUUGACGGGUAGCCGGCCUGAGAGGGUGACCGGCCGCAUUGGGACUGAGAUACGGCCCAGACUCCUACGGGAGGCAGCAGUGGGGAAUAUUGCACAAUGGGCGGAAGCCUGAUGCAGCAACGCCGCGUGCGGGAUGACGGCCUUCGGGUUGUAAACCGCUUUCGCCUGUGACGAAGCGUGAGUGACGGUAAUGGGUAAAAAAGCACCGGCUAGCUACGUG
rnacentral:rRNA from 1 species